rnacentral:rRNA from 1 species
GUCAAGUAAGACCUAACCCCCCUAAGGCACUAGAUCCUGUUUGAACUUGAAAGCCGAGCAGGGUCAGCUCUGGUUAGUACUUGGAUGGACGACCACUAAUGAAUAUCAGGUGCUGUUGGCU